CGAAUAUCUCUUGCUGUCUGUUCUAUUUUUAUGACAUUAUGCUAAGUUGUGCUAGAAAUAUAUUGAUGUGCUUCGAAUAGUUAUAUAUAUUAACUGCUCACAUCAUUAAAUUUGUGAACCCAGUUUUCACUGUCCUUGCGGCCUAAUUUGCUUCUGAGUUGGUUAUGGCGCGAGAAAAAGGAAAAGGCAAAACAAAAAUCCCCACAUAUUCAUCGUCUUCAGACUCCACUGACGCAAAUGUUCCUGCGUCUCCUCCUCCACAAAAAGA
rnacentral:misc_RNA from 1 species